rnacentral:tRNA from 1 species
AGGCUGGCGAAGCUCCUUUGCAAGGAGUUUGGGAGGGUUCGAUUCCCUCACGGUCCA